UUGAAAAUAAGUGUGAUCCCUUGCUUUUUUCUGAUGUGUCUUCUGGGGCAUGUGAGGCAAUGAUGCCAGAGUUGAUCGAGUCUGGGUCAGUAAAUUUAAGUCGGAUACAUCAUUCUCCUGAAAGUACACAUUGAGACAAUUUUAUUUUUCCUUGAGCUUUUUGAAAUGCCGUUCGUUCUAUCUUAUGAUAUUUGCUUUCUCAUUUUAGGUGAUUAAUAAAGUAUCUAAGUUUUCUACUGUUUUUCCAUGGAUUACCGUUUUCAAUAUCUGAAAUGAGGUCUUUUGUUUCUGGAAUGGGGAUAAAAAAGGCCUUGUCAUUUGUUUCUGGAAUGGGGAUAAAAAAGGCCUUGUCAUUUGUUUCCAUGAAUUAUUGGUCCAACUUUGCUGAGGUGAUUACUGGAGUAUUUAGAUACUUUUUUCACGAUAAAUGGUAAUAUUUUCAAUCAUGUCGAACAUUUACACAAACCAGGUAUACAAGAGAAAUGAAGAUAAAAGGCAGCCGGUAUUAGGUACUUAUGUGAGCUGCUCCUUGGUUUUUGGGUUUCUUUUCUAAAAUUUUGAAACUAAUGUGCCCUUUUAGUACAAACUGUGAACUCUGAGAUGGGCCCUCACUAACUAUUAUAAGCUUGCAAAUUUUGAUUGCAGACACCACUAUAUUCUUCGUCAAUUGAUGUUUCUGGCUUCUGCCUUUCACUGAUGGGGACGAACUUCCCAAGUUACCUACAGGAAGCACAAAGAGUUCUUAAACCAUUGUAUCUUACAUUAUUUUACUUGAAGCUUAUGACUAAUUUAUUCUAAGAGCUUUUCUUGAGUAGUGAUGCAUGUACAGUAGUUGGCUUUUGAUAGCAGAAGUGAAGAGCAGGUUUGAUCCCACUACUGGGGGAGCAGUCCCAGAUAGGUAUUCAAAAGCGAUAUGUGAACUAGGAUUCACCGCUUUAUCAAAGGUUUAUCUAUGUUCUUUCAUCCUUAAGUGUGAAUUUAUUUUCCGUCUCUGUGCUAAUAAGUCUUACUUCUGUGCAGGACUUUUCAAAUAAAAUGUUUAUACUUUUCUAUUUCAAGAAAAAGGUUAGGAGCUUUUCUAUUAGUAAUAUGCAAGAUUCACUACAGGCCGUAGAUUUCUAUUAAGUUUGUAUACUCAUGAAUGAUUCCUUUAUUUUAUACUCUACAAGAGAAGCAAAAUUCAAAGAAGGAAAUUGAAUGGCCUGAGUUGAAGCCUUGCUUGUACAAGCGGCGAUGAGCUCUCAAAAAAUUGUAUGAUGUUUGUAUUCUAUUUAUAUUUUUUGGGGCUACCAUUUGAAUUCUAUUUUUGAUCACACUUUUUUCUUAAAAAAAGGAACCAUUUAAUUGAUUUUUUUUGUUAUACCUUGCUUUAAUUGAUUUUUUGUAUUUCAAAAUCUAGAUUGUUAUGUGGCAAUUAGUUUCUUUAUAAAAUCUUUCACUUCAGUUUUGUACAAAGAUGGUUUGGUGGGUUGUUCUUGAUAUGACCAUGAGGAGGUCUUACCUUUGCUUACCUAAUCUCAUCAAGUUCAGUUUUUACUGAUUAUAUUUGCUCUUUCAGCUAAUUUAUCCACAGAAAGCUACUCAACCAUCCUUUCAGAACACGUCUCGGGUGUCUACUUUGGUUGGGCUGGAUUAUCAACCCGAGGCGUUUACAAGAUGGUCAUGAGUAUUGGUUGGAAUCCUUAUUUUGACAACACCAUCAAGACCAUUGUGAGUGUGUUGUCGACUUUAGAUUAUUAUCUAAAUUUGAAAAAGUUUUUCAUUUUUCAGUUUCAAAAUGAUUGUUAAUGAUUUUAGGAGCCAUGGUUGCUACAUUGACGAGGAUUUCUAUGGUGAGGAGUUAUGCCUUGCUAUCAUUGUAUCCUCCUUUUCUUUUACAGAAGCAAUUGCAUACUCUAGAAUAAAAUGAAUCAUUCUAAUCUCCAUUCCAUUCCUUCAAUCCAAACGUAUCGUUAGUAAUUCUUUUGGAGACGAAGUAAUUACUGUAUCAAUUAAAAUAAAAUAAAUUUAAAUCAUUUUAAAAUUUAAUAUAUCAUAUUAUUUAAAUUUGAAUCUCAAAAAUUAAAUUGUACUUUUAAUUUAGGAAAUAGAAACUUGGUAUCUUUAGAAAUCCAUAAACAUACAAGUGUCAGGGAAAAAAAAGUGAACACCACCCGUACAUGCAAAGCAUAAAGUCGGAAAAAUAAAGGAAAAACAAGUAAAUUUGGCCAGCUCCUUUUGUCAGAGCCUGUUUGGCAACUAAGUACUUAUUUUAGAAGAAGUACUAUUUAAUAAAAAAAAAUUGUGGUAUAGAAUAUUAAAUUAUAUUUGAGGAGUUGACUGUAUGACUAAUUAUAUUUAAGUUAUUAGUGCAGUUCCUUGAUCUUGAACAUGAAUUCUUAGUAUCAUACCUUAAUAAAUCAUCUCAUAAUAAAUUGUUGUUGAGCAGCUGAGAAGAGGAUUAUACCUGGUUCGGAUCCUGAUCAAUUCAAGUUUGCUUCCAUUGUGUCUGUAACACUGAGCUGUGACCAUCGUGUUAUUGAUGGUAGGUUCCUCUGAC
rnacentral:lncRNA from 1 species